rnacentral:rRNA from 1 species
UAAGAAUUUAAAAGUCGAACAGACUUAUUUAUAAGAAUACUGCUUCUUGAAAUUUUCUUAAUUCAACAUCGAGGUCGCAAAAUAUAAUAUAGAUAUGAACUCCCCAUUAAAAUUACGCUGUUAUCCCUAAGGUAACUUGAUCUUAAUUCCUAAUUAUAAGGAUCUAAAAUAACAUACACAAAUGAAUUUUAAAGCUAAAGUUAAUUUAUUUAACUGCCACCCCAGCAAAAUAUAAGAUUACACAUUAAAAAAUAUUUAAAUAAAACUUAAUAAUAAAAACUUAUAUAAAGUUCUAUAGGGUCUUAUCGUCCCAAUAAGUCAAUAAAGCAUUUUAACUUUAAAUUUAAAUUUUAAUAUUUAAAAUAAUAAAAUAUAAUUCUCAUACAUCCAUUCAUACAAGCUUCCAAUUAAGAAACUAAUUACUAUGCUACCUUUGCACAGUCAAAAUACUGCAGCCAUUUAGAAGUUUAAACCAUAGGGCAGAAGAUACUUUUUAUAAAAACA